ACAAAACAGUUGAUUUCAGAUCCCUGAGGGUAGUAUCAGCCACUUCUCACUUCUGCUGUAUGGCGUGUUUUGAGACUGCUCUGCUAGCUAUGACUGUGGGUAAGCUGCCUCUUGUGAAAGGCAGCACUGGGCUGGAUGAAGUGCCAACUCUCCACUUCUGGAAGCUGGCGUUGAGGCUGUCAUCCGACUUCUACAGCAAGAAAUCCAAACUACAGAAGUACUGCUGAGAAGGCAAAAAUCACCAGCUGUGAGAAUGCUGACUUCCAGGGAUCCUCCAAAGAAUUCAUCAGUGACACUGCCAAUCGGAAAGAUGUGCAUUGGAAUGGCUGUCUCCUCAGUAAAAAAGGACAGCUCUGGGUGGCUUAUGAACACCUCAGCUAUGCAGGCCAGGAACUGUUCUUUGAGGAUGAGCAACAUAGAUUUGCUGGUGAACAGUUGAAUGACGAGAUCACUUUUCUGCAGGUGAUUGCUUGAAAACCUGCACGAUCUGCAGAUCACUCUAUGAACUAUGAACGAGGGAAGAGGAGUGUGAUAACAGAAACAACCAGUCUGGGUUGGGGACAUGCCACUGACAUUGUCACAAAGUCCAGAGAGAUAGAAGUGAUUUUUGCUCGAUUGCAUGAGGAUGUGAACACCUUCCAAAUUACAACGCAAUCAAUUUCAAUGACAAGCUUCCAUUUAUACAUCUGCUUCUGCCACAGGCAUAUCAAAUAGCUGGUGUGCCAAGCGGUGACGGAGGCUAUGACUGCCAAAAGCACGCAAAGAAUCCUAGCAAGCCUAUCUUAGCUCUUCACCAGUUCCAUGGACAUCACUGGGUACAAAGGACAUCUUUCAUGGGUCAAAGACGCAAAUGGGAUGAGGUUGCAAGCUGCAAGAAGCAGCAUGCUACAAGAACAAGGACGCUGAAGAAUCUUUGUGUUUUGCAAGCUGCAGAUCUGCUUUGAGGACAACCUACUCCUCAGAGUUCCUUCAGGACUGUGACUGUGUUUUUAUACUUUAACUCCAAAGCAGCACACUAAAAACUACAUGGCAAAGUUUCAGUAUAAUUUGAAUUAUUAAUUGCAUUCGCAUAUGAAAUAUGCAAGGCCUUAUUACAGACGUAGGCUCACUGACUGUUUCAGGGACUGCUUUGACAUGUACAGGCUUAUCUGGAGAAUUUGGAGUUGCAGUUCCAAAUGACACUGCUAAAUGGCACCUACACUCUGAGCCAUAUUGUGGCAGCUGUUGUGUGGCUCUGCAUUGUAAAUCUCAUCUGUCCUGGUGCUGAGCUCCUGCUCUUGUGUUCAUAGCUGGAAAUAGCCUAUAAACAUGCAGAGUGAUCAGCUGCUGGGCUUUAACCUGUUUUAAAACAAACACAGCAGGAUCUUUUGACGUGUGUCAGAACUCUCUGGUCCUCUCCAAGGCUCAUGUGGGCAGAUGCAAAGAUGACAACUCAGGCUUCAUGUGUUAUGGGACACUUCUUACUAAUUUGGACUCAAUUUCUGGUUUUCUUGCUUUAUUCAUUGCAGAUCUUUUAAAUGGAUUUCAAAACUCAAUUCCGAGAACUCUGAGUAUCGUCCCUACCAUAGGCCAAAAUAAUUAGGACACACUGAAUGGUUUCCUGAGGAAGCCAGCUGUGCCAAAAGGAAGAAAUGGUACCAUGAGGCAGAGGGGAAGAAUCUGACACUGAUGUGUUCAAAUGUGGACCGUGGCAGUGGUGCCGGUGAGUGUGCUGUGUGCGGUGCUCUCAGCCUGCUCAGUAAGGCAAAUCAGACUGUGCAGGUGGCUGUAUCAUCACCGUUAUGUUUCUUCCAGAAGGCCUAAGCACAGUGCUCUGUGCAAUAUAUAAGAAAGCUGAAAAACAUCAAUACAUGUUAUGUUUUUAAUCCCAUUAUUAAGGUAACUUCUCAAUAUUAAUACCUUUUGGAGUAACAAAUCUAGGUGGACAAGAUCAUCAUCUUCUGACCAAACCAAUAUGCAAAAUAAAUGAUUUUAGAAGACUUACGGAAUUGCCAUGACGACGUCUUAGGGUUCCCUUUCAGCACCUUGGCAUGAUAUAGACAACAUGUGAGCAUGGUUGAUAGGCAUGGAAUUAUUUAGGGUGUGUCUAAUUUAAUUUCUAGGAAAUACACAUAACAAUAUUUACUUUGUGUAAAGUGUCAUUUCUUAGGAAAGUAUGUAUUCUCUUAUUUUCUUAUGUAUAUAUAUAGCAUGUAUUACUGAAAUUUUAUUUGUAGUUGAAACAUUUCUAAAUCUGAUAAGCAUAAUCUUUGCAUUUAAAUGUUCCCUGUAUUUUUGAUUAUGUUACCUUUUCAAAUUUAUUUUACUUUGUGAUUUAAGCACAUUAUAUUCCUGUCAGCCUAUGUCUAGUUCUUCUGGUCACCAGAGAGGGGCCUUUCUUUUUGUGGAGGUUAAGGAAAAGGUGUCUAGAUGCUCCCCAGUUACAGUGCAGCAAGCAGCUUCUCUGCUGCUCAUCCACUAGUGCCUUUGAAAUCACAUUCUCUGGUCACUCAUGCUCUUCUUACUUUGGCAGGAGGCAAAGAGGCAUCUCAGAAAGACAGAAUCCCUCCCUGGCAUCUCCUGCUGUAAUCAUUGUGUAUCUUCAUAAAAAGGUACUGAAUGGCACUCUUGUUAGGGAAGGAGCAUCAAUAUCUCAGCGUCCCUGUCGACAUGGGGAGAGCAACAGUACCUGGAGGUCUUAGUGCCUAUUAAACUUGGUGUAGUACACAUGCAGAGUAAAAAGACUGCUUCCAAAAUAAGCAACCAGUUAAAAAAUGUUUGCAGAGGGGUUUAUUACUAAUUCAUAGUAGAGUACAAAUAAUUCUGAAUAAGGAAAUCAUGUAAUGCGUUAUGCCAGAAAGAAAUGAGACGGGUAAAACGUGAUGCAGGUAACUCUAAGGUGCACGUAACCAAGGGGUGAUACAUAAACAGGCUGAACUUUUUUCUGCAUAGUUAGAAAUGACUGCAGAACAAGUUGAGGCAUGUUGGAGUAAUGACAAAAUAUAAAACUGGGCUCAAGGUUCAGAUCCUGUCUGCACAGAAACAGCUUGAGGGUUAAGAAUAGCCACUGAGCUUAUUUUGUAACAAGGCAGCAUUCCCUUGCUGGUCAAACAAAAGUUUCUGUGGAGAACAGCUCUUGAGCAUCUAACACUUUAUGGAGUAGGUGGCCUGUGCUGUCCUGGCUUGUGUCUGCACAUGGUGUACUGAUGGGCCACAACUCUGGCAGAGCAGCAGAUACCUCUCCUUCCAUCCACAGCUUUUAAAAUAAGAAUUGCAUUCUUUGGAAAAGUUGUAGACUCUAGAUCCUCAUGGUCCUUUUCAUCCCCUGGUAUUUUAUGAUUCUAGAUCCAAAUUUCAUUCAUAAAAUGCUACAUAGAAGCCAAACAGAAAAAAAAAAAAACUGCAUUAAGUAUAUUUUCUCUCUCUUCAAAAUUCUGUAACAAUUACAUCGCAUUACUGUUCCUACUUCAAGUUUUUCCAUUUUAUUUCUUAUUUUCAUCAGAAGUUGUUGCUAGGCACAUAGGAGCUCCUCCCGUAGCACACUAUACUCAGAUGACCCCACAGGAUUAAUUAGCUCUCAGAAGCGAAUGCGUACAGAGCCUAAGGCAAUUCAAACUUUAAUUUCCAUCACGAUUUCCAAGUCAGCCCGAGGAGAAGCUCCACAGAGCUUCAUCAGCUGUGUAUAAUUUUGGUUGCUCCACUGUUCACUCAGGAAGGAUCUCACUGAAGAGCAUCCCCAGUAACAGUGACCAGUUUACUCUGACGCUGACGGUUUUGUUCGUAGGCAAUGCUAUUAUAGAAUUGUUUGGGUUAGAAAAGACCUGCAAGAUCACCAAGUCCAAUAAUCAAAAAGAGUGCCAAAGCAGGAGAAUAAUUUGUUCAGAGACUACACACAAUUUGGAAUUAGGUGGCCAGAAUGCUUUUUCAUUUGCUUGGAGCACUCUCUGUGGAGUAUAUGGAGAUGGGAACUGAAUUCUGCAGAUCUGAGAGGGCAGAGGUUGAAAUCCUUACGAAAGCAAUGAUGGCUGAGUGAUCUCAGUGCUGAGUGAAGCAAGUGAGAUAAUGUUGAAGGAACACCAGGCUCCCUUUGCAUCUUCAUCACCUAGCCAUCCAUUUGCAACAUUCUGAUGCUUUUCUUGGGUCAGCAGCAACUUGCUUACCUACCUGGUCACUCUACAGUGAAAUUUUACUCAAAAGUUGCAAUCACUGAUGGGAGAGAAAAACACCUAGGAGAGCCCAAUUGCUUCUCAAUUAUUUGUUCGCAUAUAACAGAAAAACAUUAAUAAAGCUACUGCAUGCAAA